rnacentral:lncRNA from 1 species
ACUGAGAUCACAUUAAAUAAGCUGGUUGCAGUAUGUGCAUCCACAGCGCUGAAUGGAUCAUCAAGAAGGUAUAUAUCUGCAUCUUGAUAUAGUGCACGGGCAAGUUGAACCCGCUGUUUCUGCCCACCGCUGAGGUUAACACCUCUUUCUCCUAUUACUGUCUCAUCACCACAUGGAAGAAUUUCCAGGUCCUGUACAAGUGAACAUCUUUUCAGUACUUUAUGGUACUUUUCUUGAUCCAUAGAUGACCCGAAGAGUAUAUUCUCUUGUAUAGUGCCUGUUUGUAUCCAUGCUGUCUGAGCAACAUAAGCUACCUUUCCAGCCACCUGGACCUAUAAAAUAUAGAAGUACUCAUUUAAGUUGAACUGGUGAGAAGACACAUUGCAAAGCUGCAUGUUUAUAAAUUGAGAUUUAUAUGUUAGUCAAAUUCUGCAGGAACAUCUUUGAGAAUGUGUGCUACUUCAGAUUUAUGUUAUAAUUAAUAUUUAGGAGGUAAAAUCAUCUGUGACUCACCAUGCCCUUAGUACAGGAAACCUCUCCAAGAAUUGCAGCUAAAAGGGUUGAUUUACCUGAGCCAACUUCUCCGCAAAUUGCAACCUUCUGGCCAGAUUGUAUAUUCAAAUCUAUAUUCUCCAGAGUGAGCUUUGAGGAAUUGGUAUCCCAUGAUAAACCUGCUUCUUUGAUUAAUAUAGACUCUGCAAUUACCUUGCAAUGACCUUCGGCACUUCUUUUUUGCAAUUCAGAUUCCUCAAGGAACUUCUGAAUUCGUGUUAAUGCCACCUUUGCUUCAAUGAAACUUCCAACAACAUCUGGUAUAAGCCUAAUAUGCUCUUGGACAAUACGGACUGUUGCAAGAAAUGUAAACACGUUGCUAGUAUCUAGAGGAAUUCCCAUCAGAUAGCAUGCCCAGAAAGUUACUACUGUAAUUACGAGAGGGUAUGACCAAAAGAGUGCUAGGUAAUAGCCUCUUUGUGUCAGAAUUGCGGACAACCACCUUUCUUCUUCUUUCCUCAAACCUUCUACAACAUGUCUAAAGUGCGUCUCCCAACCAUACAACUUCAGUACUUUCAUGUUAGUCACUGCCUCCGUAAUGGCCUUGAGCCUUAUGUCUUGUGCUACCAUGAGUUUUGUCAGGUACCUGUGUUGCAGUUUAACCAUUGGAGUAUUUACCACUAUUAUUAGAAUCACUGCUAGUAGGGCUGCAAUUGUCGCUUUGCCUACAGUAUAGUAAAUGACAAGAAGUGCAAGACAUAAUUGCAGACUCGUUGCCCAUAUCCGAUGAAAAAAACAUGGAAAUUCACCAAUUCUAUAAGCAUCUACUGUGACAUAAUUCAGAAUCUGGCCCCCAGAAUGAAUUGCUUUAGCAGCAGUUGAUAGUCUGAGUUGCUUCUGGUAAAUUGCUGCAGAGAGCGUAGAUCUUACUUGGACUCCAAUCAGUCUUGUUUGAAAGUUCCAUUGUCUUUCCGAAAGUGAUUCCAUACCUUUGGCCAAAAAUAAGCCUGCGGCUAGUGCAUAGCCCUCGUAUUUAAAAGACUCCUUGCCUUGAGCAACCUGAAUGAAAGCUUUAAGUAGCAGAGGACCAGAAGCAAGUGCAAUUACCUUGAUCAAUGCAAAAAGACCGGACACUAAGAUCGCUUUAAGCUGCCAGAUAAAUAUAGUUGAUAAAAUUGGAAGAGAGCCAGAGGUUCCUUUUUUUGUCUGUGCUGUCAGUUGCUCCAUAAACUUGGAGUAACACGUCUCUGCACGAUCUUCAUGCUUUAAUUUCGGAAGAUCAAUGUCCUCCAAAACUUUAAUUUUACCCUUCUUCAGUAGCGGGUUCAACCACCAGAAGGACAUUAUACUCAGAAUUCCUGCAUUACUGAAAGGAGUAACAUUUUCAACCUCGUUGAUUUUUAUGUCAUCGCCAGCCUCUUCACCUUGCGAACGUACAGAGGGUGUCUUCUUCAAUUCUUGUUUCCAUUUCUGCAUAUUUAAAAUUCCACAAAAACACGUAAGGAAAAUAUAUAUAAUUGCUCCUGGUCAAGUUAAGAAGAGGGCUGACAGAGGCUUGAAACCCUAAGAUAACACCGCUAGCCACUGAUGCCAACAAUCUGGACUAGGUACUCCCAAGAGUAAGAGAUUGUUUUCAUUAAGACCACGGUUUUUAAAAAAUUAAUCUUUGAAAUGUCAUAAAUUAAGAAAAUUAUCCCACUAAAGAAAACUAUCAUAUUUCUUACACAAGCUUGUACAAGUCAGUAAAUUUCAACUUACAAAUACAAAACCAUGAUUAACAUUCUGAAAAUGCUAGAUACCCAAAAAUUGUUCCGAAAUCUAGUUAGACAAUAUAUGAUUGGUUCCACCACACUAAUAAUAAUAAUAAUAAUAAUGGGAUCUUUAUACGCACAUAAUCUGUCCAAUUAAAAUCAACCAUUUGUCGGUUACAUCAUUUAAGGAAAAAAAAAUUAUGAACAACAUUUGUGAUAAGUAACAUUACUCCUAACAUUCAACCAGGAGCAAAAAACCAUCAUGCAUACAAGAACACUAGCGCCUUCUGUUUUUCAAUAAUGACACACUCACGCACCCGUCUUGUCGUUAUCUGUCUAUGUUAUGAACCCACAAGUGAAUGAGUAAAGAACACACACCUUCUACGAUCGACUUGAAGCAAAUGCAGAUAUCAUAUAGAGGAAGAACGGAAGAUUCUUGAGAGUCGAAGUAUGAUUAAGCAGAUUCUCCAACGACAAGGAUUUAAUAUGUAAUGUAUUAACCAUUACAGUGAAUUAUUACUAUAACUAGAAAAUGGAGAAAAUGCCCCAUAUGCGAAUCAUUACAUGUGAAACGAUUUCAAUUUUAAAACAAACUUAAAAUCGCCAAUAAUGCAAUUUAAUAUGUUGAUGAACGUCUAAUUAUAAUGGUCAUUUCCAUUAUUGGAGCAAUUUAAUCUGAUGUAUGACCUUGCACAGGGCGGAACUAGGGCUGAGCAUUCGGUCGGUUCGGUCCAGAACCGGACCGGACCGAACGGACCGAGAACCGAACUUUGAAAAUUUUCUGGACCGGACCGGACCGAAGUUUGCAUAUGGACCGAACCGGGACCGAACCGAAAUAAUUCGGUCGGUCCGGUCCGGUCCGCCAGAACCGAAUUAAAAAAAAAAUUAAUCUGUAUUUACAAAAAAAAUCAGCAAGCAUGAUAAAAGAGAAAAAAGAUAGUACCACCAAUCCACAUCCACCACAGAUAAUCUAGAGAGCUAACAUUCAAAGCACAACUCCAAAAUAGUCAUAAGUUUAUAAAUUUUAAAAACCACCACAGUAGUCUCAAGUCUGCUAGUUCAAAAAUAAAAUAAAUAGUCUGCUACUACUAGUCUUCAACUCUUCAUCAUUUUGUUUGUCCGCUGAUGCUCUGCUGCUCAUGUUCAUGGAACUAACUCAUGCUGUCAUGCUCGAUUAGGUAUGCGUAUGCUCGAUUAGAUUAGGUAUAGAGAGUCUCGACGGUGAAUAUAGUCUAUAGAUAUUAGAUAGUAUAAUUAUAAUAUGGUAUUUAAAAUAUAAAAUAAAAUUAUUAUUUAUAUUAUAUAUAAAAGUUCGGUCCAUUCGGUCCAGGACCGAAAUUUUUCGAUGGGGACCGGACCGGACCGUAUUUUAUUUCGGUCCGGACCGAAAUACCCGAACGGACCGAAUUUUCAGAAAAUUAGGACCGAACCGGACCGAAAUUAUUCGGUCCGGUCCGGUUUUUCGGUUUCGGUUCGGUUCUGCUCAGCCCUAGGCGGAACCAAGGGGGGGCUAGCCCCAGCGCCAGCCCCGGCUGAGAAAAAAAUUAAUAAGUAAAAUAUAUAUAUAUUCAACUUUUUAGCCCGGGGGCAAAUUUAAAAAUGAUUAUAUAUAUAAAAAAUUAGCUCAAAUUGAAAUUACAUUUCUCUGAAAUGGACUAGGUUUUGUUAACAAAUCAGCUGGAUAAUUUCAUUUAUGAUGUGCAAAAUGAUAAUAGUUUCUCUGAGUUUCAAAAUAUUGCAGAGCUUGCUAUUAAGAUGGUCGGAACACAUAGAAGUACAACUUAUCCUUUGGUUUACCGUCUCACUGGGCUAGCUUUGAUUUUAACUGUCGCAACAACUACUGUUGAAAGAGUGUUUUCUGCAAUGAAAAUACUUAAGACUUAUUUGCGUAACAGGAUGGGGAUGAGUGGUUGAACGAUAGCAUGCUGGUUUACAUCGAGAAGGUCAUAUUUAGAGACAUAAACGACGAAAUUAUCUUACAAGGCUAUCAAAUUAUGCAAAAUCGUAGAGUUCAAUUGUAGUUUAGCCCGGGGUCAAAAUUAAUCCUGGUUCCGCCACUGACCUUGCAGCAGCAUGAGCAUCUAUAGUGAUAGUUAAUUUAAUCUGAUGUGUCUUGAGGUCUGAAGAAAUAUUUCUCUACAGAGUUGGUAAAACAUAUACUACCACGUUCUUUUAAUUUUGGCACAUUCCUAAGACUUUUACAUUAUAAUUAAAAUUAUUAUUUUUAUAAUUUUUUAUUUAAAUUAUAUCAAUCAUAUAAUUUUAUUCCGAAAUUUAUCUUUCCAAAAAUAAUGAGUUUAAUUCUAUGAUUAAACGACUAAAAAAAUACAUGUCAACAAGGAAAGCGACUAUAUUUUAAAUCAACCGAAAUAAUUCACACGAUACGAAAUAUUAUAAUAAUAACAUAAUGUUCUUUUGAAAAGAAAUAUGACACAUUUUUUAUUCUUUAUUAUUCAAUCAACAAUUUUUUUAAUAAGACAACUGAGUGUGUUUGCCCGGAUUUUAUAUUUGAAUUUUAAGCUAUUUUAGACUCUAAACUGUAUGUCUGCGUGAUAAGUAAGAGUUAAAUUUAGAAGUCGGUAGGAUGUACUUUUUUAAUCAUUUUAUAUUAUUUUAAUGUUUUUUAUAAAAAUCAAUUUCAACCCUAGAAUAAACUAUCAAAUUUUUUUAAUAACUCAUAAGUCAUUUAAAAUAUAAAUUAUCCAAACAGACAACCUAAACUAAGCACUUAUCACAAUAAGGAGCUGCAUGGCUUAUUUUAUUUAUAAAUGAAAAAUAAUUUUUAAUUUAUCUAUUUGGAUAUAUUUUUUGAUUUUUACGGCUUAUUGAGUAUAAUAAUUAUUAACAUAAUAACAAAAUAUUAUAAAUUAUUUUUAGAAUGGUCCUUUACAUUUUUCUAAAAUCAAAUUUCAAAAUACAAAUAAGUUAGUCUCGACUUGAUAUGACUUAUAAGCUGGGAGUUGACUUAUAUAUUAUUUACAUAAAUGGAAUGAAAAAUUGUUGAAUGGUUCCCACGGAUAUAAUUCUAAAUUAAUAAUAAAUUUUAAUCAAUAAAAAUAUACUUUAAUGUGUUCAUUAUAAUAAAUAAAAUUAUAUGAUAUCAACCUUUUUCUUUUCUUACAAAAUUGGUAGAAUAAUUACGAAGUUUGUAAUUUAUAAUAAAAUAAUACAAAAACUUACGAAUACACAAUAACGAUUUCAAACUAUAAAAUUCAGAAAAAUAAUAAAGAGAUUUCAUGAUAUUUAUAAUAAAUUACUUAUUACGACUAAUAUAAAUUUUUGUGAUUCAUGAAGUUUCAUAGUAUAUAUUCAUGUACUAAUUGUAUUGUACAAUUAAAACAAAAUCAUAAUAAUUAAAUAAUUAAAAGAUAUAUAAUAUAAUGUAAAAUAAGUAUAAUAUUGUAAUAAUUAAAAAGAGUAACAAAAGUAAAGAUCAAAAUAUUUGAACCAUUCGGACACAGUUUAAAGGCAGGGUGGUUCAGAGGAAAAUUUGUGUAUUUUAAGUUUUUAACUACCGAUUCAACUAGUGUCAUUAGUGAAUAAAAAACAAAUGACUCCUGAGUCAUUCUAAAUUAUACUGUACAAGUCACCCCUAAAUUAUUACUCUCGUCCCUUCCAUUUCUUUACAUUUGUGUCCCACCCAAUUGUUUACAUUUCAAAACUUACCAAAAAUAGUCUAUGGGUCCCGCCACUUCUCCACUUUUCUUUCCAUUUCACACUAUUUUUACUCCACUAUCUUCUUUUUAUACACAAAAAAUCAAUAGGUCCCACUACUUCAUCCAUUUUUCUUUCUCUUUUCUCUCUACUUUAUACAUAAUUCUUAACUUCCGUGUCCAACUCAUUUGAUAAUAAACUAGUUGAGAAACCGCGCGUUGCGGCGGCCUAUAAAAAUUAUAUUAAUGAUUCUUAUAUUAUAAAAAUCUUGAUGUAAUACCAAUACUAAUAUAUAAAAUUGCGAAAUUGGACUAUAAUUCAUGGUGAAAAAUUGAAAAUAAAUUUGUACACGUAAUUAACAAUUUAAAGCAUAAUGAAUCUUAAUUUUAUUUGUUUUUUUUAAAAAUAAUCAUGUUCUUACAUUGUCACCUUCCUCCAAUUUUUUUGGAUUGAUUGUGCAUAAAAACAUCUAACUUAAUUAAAUCUGCGAGAUAGCAGUCUAUAACUACCCUCUUAAAAGUUGCUUGAACGGAGCAAACAGAUAAUGCAUGAAUAAUAUUUUCAUGUAUACAAAGUAAAUCAUAUAAAAAUUAACAACAACAAACAUGUCCGAUGAACAAAACAAAUAUUAUAAAAGAAUAACCAACAAACAUACAUCACUAAUAGUUAAUUUAUUAAUAUCAACCAUCAAUAUCAUGUCAAGACUACAUUCUUUUCUCGUGUUUGGAUUUGUCGACUCCAAUAUAACGGUCUAUAACUACCUUUGCUUGCUACAACUUUUAUUUUUUUAAUACUGUAUAAACAACCUUCACUCAUCGUUGAAGAAGAACGGCACCUCCGAGUUAGAAAUCGAGCAAGAGAACUAUCACCAGAGAGAGGUAGGGUUAUGGUAUUGAGAGAGAGGAGGUUGUGUUUAGAUGAUCUAAAACCCUACAAUCUAUAGGGGUAUUUAUAGGUGCAGAAAGACUUGUGUGCUACUCUUUCCUAUAAUUAAAUAAUUUGAAACAAAAUCAGAUUAAAACUUUCAAGCUAUUAUAUUCCAUAAAUAAUCUGUUUUUCCCAUAAUUAAAUAAUCUGAAACAAAUUCAGAUUAAAACUUUUAAGCUACUAUAUUCCAUAAAUAAUUUAAAACAAAAUUAGAUUUUGAAACGUGCUUCUAAUAUACCCGAAACUAAAGAAGGUAGUUCUAAUUUUUAAUAUUUUUCAUCCAAAAAAUCCAGAAAAUUAGAAAAAUAGAACGGAGCGAUGUGAGAGGCGCCACCUACAUGCCCCUCACUUCUCCUUUAUAUAGGUAAUCGAGCAAUAGAACUAUCACCAGAGAGAGUUAGGGUUGUGGUAUUGAGAAAGAGGAGGUUGUGUUUAGAUGAUCUAAAACCCUACAAUCUAUAGGGGUAUUUAUAGGUGCAGAGAGACUUGUGUGCUACUCUUUCCUAUAAUUAAAUAAUUUGAAACAAAAUCAGAUUAAAACUUUCAAGCUAUUAUAUUCCAUAAAUAAUCUGUUUUUCCCAUAAUUAAAUAAUCUGAAACAAAUUCAGAUUAAAACUUUUAAGCUACUAUAUUCCAUAAAUAAUUUAAAACAAAAUUAGAUUUUGAAACGUGCUUCUAAUAUACCCGAAACUAAAGAAGGUAAUUCUAAUUUUUAAUAUUUUUCAUCCAAAAAAUCCUGAAAAUUAGAAAAAUAGAAUGGAGCGAUGUGAGAGGCGCCACCUACACGCCCCUCGCUUCUCCUUUAUAUAAGUAUAUUGAUCGGAGGGAGGGAGGGAGUAGAAGUUACUACUACUCGUAUAAUUUUAUAAGUCGGCUUAAACGAAUCGAAAAAUAUCAACUUGAUCCCCCUUUGUAUGUUUUAUGAAAAUAAUAUCUUUUACAAUGACGUCAGUCAUGUGACAAAAUUAACCAGCCGAUGCGAUCCAAUUGAACAAUUUAUAAUGUUGGUUGAUGUCGCCUGAAUAAGACCAAUAUUCCUUAGUUAACUUCCUGAACAGCGAACCUUCCCUACUUAACAGUUUAUUAGGCUCAUCGUAUACUCCACCAACUCUCAUGCAUUUUUUUUAAAAAAAUUAUAAACAAAGAACUCUUUGUUCGAGAUAUAAAUUUUAAAUUACUUUGCAUAUAUUGAGUUGAAAUGAACGAAAUUCAUGUCUCAAUCCAUGUAACUUUGUACCGAAGGAGAAAUCAGAAAUUCUCAGGCUCUUUUCGCAGUAGCUUCUUAUGCAAAUUUCUUGUAAUAUCACUAAUUUUAAGGAAAAUAAUAUAUUUAGCAUAAUGUAAUAUAUAUCAAAGUAACGUUUUAUAAAUACAUGGCCAAUAAUGUCAGCAAUACGCUAUUAUAGAAUGAUAAUAACAUAAAUUGUCCUUGCCCGAAUGGAUAUCAAGCUAACCCGAAUUUAAAAGAAAUUCAUCAUCCGAUCGGAUUUUAUGAAAGCGUUUUUAUGAGAAAGGAAAAAACCCUAGCUAAUUGCCCGAGACGAAGUUAUACACUCAAAAGUAAAAUGACAACCCUAAUUAAAGGUUUUAGCAGAGCAAAAAGAAAGAGCAUGGGUAAGCAAAUCCUUGUUUUAUCUUCAGGUGUGCCUAUUGCUCAAUGCUCUGCAUUUGCUUGUGUUGUGUAUGUAUGCAUGCAUGGAAUUUGGUGGCAAUAUACCGGUUGUCUAGAUUGAGUUCGGUUAACAAGAGAAUGGGAACCUCGUGUUGGUGUUUUCACAAGAGGUUUAAGGGUCUGUUUGGGAGUGCUGUUAAAAAUUAUUGUGCUGUCAGAAAAAGUGCUGAUAAAAAAUGUGCUGUUGUAAAAAUCAGAUAACUGUUUGGUAAUUCUUUUUGAUAUUUGUUUAUUUUUAGUUAUAAUAUAAAAUAAUAAUGUUUUUGAUGAGGUUUGAUAAUAAAAUCUAUAACAGCUUUCUACAAAAACUAAAAAGCAGCUUUUUCCAAAAGCAUGGGGACCUGUUUUUUCUAAAAACAACUUUUCAGCUAAAAGUUGUUAUCGGAAAAGUUACUUUUAGAUUUACCAAACAGUUUUGCAGCUGUUUUUCAGCGAAAAGCUAAUCUUGUUAUCGGCAACAGCAACGCCAAAAAGUACUAAAUAAGCAAAUUAUUAUAUGGAAUGGGAAUCUUAUUCCAAUUUUGGGGUAACCAAACCUAAUAGCCUCCAUUCCCAUGCCCCACUUUCCCAUUCCCCCCACAAUCCAAAUGCCCCGUACAGCCGUACUAUAUGUUAUGCAUGCAAGUAUUCUCUGAGCCAUAGCUCUGGUUAUCACUCUACAACCCUGAAAUUCUUUAAAUUGUUUGAUGUUGUUUGUGGGCACCAGAAUAAGACCAGUAUUCCUCAACUAGCUUCCUGAACAGCGAGCCAUCCCGAUUCAACAAUUUAUUGGGCUCAUCAUACUCCACCAUCUCUCCUGCAUUUUCCAAAACAAAAAAUCACUAUAACAAAUAUUUUCAUGACUAACACUUACAUACUGAUGUAUGUGCUUAAAAAGUUACCAUUUCUCAUGGAAAGCACCAUUGUGCAGUCAAUCACAGUUGGUAUUCUGUGAGCCACUGUUAUCACGGUGCAGCCUGCAAAUUCCAUCCUUAUGGUUUUCUGUAUUAUAGUGUCUGUUGCAUUGUCAAUUGAUGCUGUUGCUUCAUCAAGAACUAGGAUCUUCCUCCUCUUUAAUAAUGCCCGUCCCAGGCAAAAUAACUGACAUUGUCCCAGGCUCCAAUUUGAUCCGUCCUCCACAACUGCCAUUCAUCUUUAUGUUAGUAACAAACACAGAGGUAUGUAUAUUCUUUACUUAGCUUUUUACAGAACUGUUUUCUUACCCAAGGAGUUCAGCCCUUCUUCUUUCUCUUGAACAGCCUCUCGGAGGUGACAUUUCUCAAGAACCUUCCUCGCAUUACAUAGUUACACACAAAGUAGUGUCAUUUUUUUUAUAGGAAAUGAAAACAAAGAUUGGACUCCGAAUGAGCAACUGGAUAAUAGUUUACCUGCCAAAUUUCACUAUCAGUAUGCUCAAAGAGGGGGUCUAUGUUAUAUCUGACGGAACCACUGAAAAGUGUUGGAUCUUGUGGGAUGAUGCUAAGCUGUGUUCUGAGGUCAUGAAGCCCAAUUUUAGAGAUAUCUAUGUCAUCUAUUAUUAUCUUUCCAGCCGUAGGUUCUACAAGGCGAAACAAGGCACUUAUCAAAGUUGUCUUCCCACUACCAGUCCUGCCAACAAUUCCAAUUCUAUGUCCUCCUUCAAAGAUGCAACUGAUUCCACGCAAAACUAGAGGCGCAUUUUGUCGGUAUUUUACCUGCUUAAUUCAGACUUUUCAUUAUGUACCAGUAUCUACAAACAUAAAUUUAUGAACAAAAUAAACCACAAAAGAGACACUGAUACCUUUAGAUUGUUGAUUUCUACUCUCCCAGAAACUGGCCAGUUAAGUGGAGGACGGUUAUCUUCUAGUUUUUCGGGGGCCUCACUAGGAAUGUGCAUGCACUGUUCUAGCCUCUCCACGGAAAUGAUGAAAUUUGACAGCAUGCAGUGCAUAUUUAUAGCAUAUACAAGGAAUUCAUUCAUUGAAAGGGCGUAUGAUAGAGCCAUCCCGACAUAUCCUGUAAUUUAUAAGUAAGUGAUAGACGCACUUAGCUCUGUUUUAGUCCUCGGAUGACAAUAAAACUGAACAAGACACUUUCAAGCUCACAAAUGGAGCUGCACCAACAUGAAAAAAAAUUUGUGCAAUAUAAAAGAAGAUACCUAACCUGAUUUAGAAGCUCCAAGAGGCAUCAAAGUCAUGCCAAGUGCAGAGAAUGAGACGAUAACUGCACAUAAUCCUUCCAGAUGUAGUAUCAACCACUCAUUUGCUGAAAAACUGUGGAAGUAUGGAAUUGAGUUUGCAUCAAUAAGACGGAAGUUUUCAGAAAUAAACCUAUUUUCUUCUUUAAAGGCUCUGAUGGUCACCGCUCCAGCAAUUGACUCGGCAAGCUGGCUUGCAACUGAAGACUUUGUCGUGCCAUUAAUACGCAUCAACUCAUUAGCCGAAGCUAAGUAGAAUUUCUGCAAGUUCAGUUACAAGAAUCUUGAGUUCUUUCUAAAAGAGUAUUUUACAUUUCUUAGCAGUGUUGUAAAAUUACCUGUAAAACUAUGGUAAUAUAAACUGUGGGAAUGAUGAGAAAUAAGAUAGGCCAGGUGAGUACAGCCAAUAUUCCAAAGCUGAGACACGUGUUCAAUGCUGAUCCGAUUGCAGUUGCAAAUUUUAUUGCCACUUCAAGGUCUAUGAUACUCAGAUCAGAAGAUAACUAUUGAAAGUAUUAAAUAUGUAAGUCAUAUGAUGAUCGUAUUAUCACGACUGUAAUGUAAAUUUGGCUAAUUUAGAUAUCCUUACCCGGCUCAGUAUCCUUCCAACAGGUGUCGAAUCAAAGUAGGACAUAGGUGCUCGAAAGAUUGACACUACUGCCUUGGAAAAAAUAGAUUCCGACGCCUUAGUACUUAAUUCAACUACUACAUAAGAUCUUAUAAGUAGGCACACUGACAUUACACACCCAAUCCCAGUGUAUACUGCAUUUAGUAUGACAAUGCUUAUAGCGGGAUUUUGAAGUUCAGCAGCCAACCAAACACCUUGACCUAAUUGACCAACUAUGAAUAACAUAUGGAAUAUGACUGAUAGUGAAAGGUAUAAGAAUCCCUGGUUUUGCUUUAAGUAUUGUUUGUAAGGUUUUAGACCGCGGUCUCCGGUCUCUUUCUGCUCUUUUUCAAUCAACUGGUCUCCCAGCCCUUUGUGAAGCUCUUCUUCAACAUCAAUUUCUUGUAUCUCUUGGUUGGAAACUGUAGGACUUUGUGGAGAACUAUAACUCAUUCGUCCUUCCGGAUUGGUAGCAUCACUUUUCACAAUCAAAAGAUUUUGAAAAUCUGGACUAUGAACUAACUGCUGGUACUUAUCAGCUUGCAGGAUUUUCCCUUCAGACAUUAGCUGCCAAAAACAAUUGCUUCUUAUUUUCUGAAUAUGUAUCACUAUUAAAUGGAUUCGAAAAAUGAAAGACAUUAAUAAUCCCUCAUUCUUCUCUACUGUAAAAGGGAAAACAAUAUCUCAUGUUUUGAUUAAAAUUACUAACCAGAAUAAUAUCAAAAACAGGGAGGAAGUCAACUUGGUGGGUGACAAGCAUAACCGUUUUUUCUGAUAAUGCUCCCAUGACAUACUCCUGCAAAAAUCAAAAUUUGUCCAUAAAACAAAGGAAAAUCUUUGAAAUGGAACUGAAAUUAGCUUAAAACAUAGGUCACAUUAAAUAAGCUGGUUGCAGUAUGUGCAUCCACAGCGCUAAAUGGAUCAUCAAGAAGGUAUAUAUCUGCAUCUUGAUAUAGUGCACGAGCAAGUUGAACCCGCUGUUUCUGCCCACCGCUGAGGUUAACACCUCUUUCCCCUAUUACUGUCUGAUCACCACAUGGAAGAAUUUGCAGGUCCUGUACAAGUGAACAUCUUUUUAGUACUUUAUGGUACUUUUCUUGAUCCAUAGAUGACCCGAAGAGUAUAUUCUCUUGUAUAGUGCCUGUUUGGAUCCAUGCUGUCUGAGCAACAUAAGCUACCUUUCCAUCCACCUGGACCUAUAAAAUUCAGAAGUACUCAUUUCAGUUGAACCGGUGAGAAAACACAUUGCAAAGCUGCAUGUUUAUAAAUUGAGAUUUAUAUGUUAGUCAAAUUCUGCAGGAACAUCUUUGAGAAUGUGUGUUACUUCUGAUUUAUAUUAUAAUUUUAAUAUUUAGGAGGAGAAAUCAUUUGUGACUCACCGUGCCCUUAGUGCAUGAAACUUCUCCAAGAAUUGCAGCUAAAAGGGUUGAUUUACCUGAGCCAACUUCUCCGCAAAUUGCAACCUUCUCGCCAGAUUGUAUAUUCAAAUUUAUAUUCUCCAGAGUGAGCUUUGAGGAAUUGAUAUCCCAUGAUAAACUUGCUUCUUUAAUUAAUAUAGACUGUGCAAUUACCUUGCAAUGACCUUCACUUCUUUUUUGCAAUUCAGAUUCCUCAAGGAACUGCUGGAUACGAGUUAAUGCAACCUUUGCUUCAAUGAAACUUCCUACAACAUCAGGUAAAAGCCUAAUAUGCUCUUGGACAAUACGGAUUGUUGCAAGAAAUGUAAACACGUUGCUAGUAUCUAGAGGAACUCCCAUCAGAUAGCAUGCCCAGAAAGUUACUACUGUAAUUACGAGAGGGGAUGACCAAAAGAGUGCUAGGUAAUAGCCUCUUUGUGUCAGAAUUGCGGACAACCACCUUUCUUCUUCUUUCCUCAAUCCUUCUACAACAUGUCUAAAGUGGGUCUCCCAACCAUACAACUUCAGUACUUUCAUGUUUGUCACUGCCUCCGUGAUGGCCUUGAGCCUUAUGUCUUGUGUUACCAUGAGUUUUGUCAGGUACCUGUGUUGCAAUUUAACCAUUGGAGAAUUUCCGACUAUUAUUAAAAUCACUGCUAGUAGAGCUGCAAUUGUCGCUUUGCCUACAGUAUAGUAAAUGACAAGAAGAGCAAGACAUAAUUGCAGACUUGUUGCCCAUAUCCGAUGAAAAAAAUAUGGAAAUUCACCAAUUCUAUAAGCAUCUACUAUGACAUAAUUCAGUAUCUGGCCCGGAGAAUGAGAUGCUUUAGCAGCAGUUGAUAGUCUAAGUUGCUUCUGGUAAAUUGCUGCAGUGAGCAUAGAUCUUACUUGGACUCCAAUCAGUCUUGUUUGAAAGUUCCAUUGUCUUUCAGAAAGUGAUUCCAUACCUUUGACCAAAAAUAAGCCUGCAGCUAAGGCAUAGCCCUCGUAUUUAAAAGCCUCCUUCCCUUGAGCAACCUGAAUGAAAGCUUUAAGUAGCAGAGGACCAGAAGCAAGUGAAAUUACCUUGAUCAAUGCAAAAAGACCGGACACUGAGAUUGCUUUAAGCUGCCAGAUAAGUAUAGUUGAUAAAAUUGGAAGAGGACCAGAAAUUCCUUUUUUGGUCUGCGCUGUCAGCUGCUCCAUAAACUUGGAGUAACACGUCUCUGCACGAUCUUCAUGCUUUAAUUUCGGAAGAUCACUGUCCUCCAAAACUUUAACUUUACCCUUCUUCAGUAGCGGAUUCAACCACCAGAAGGACAUUAUACUCAGAAUUCCUGCGUUACUGAAAGGAGUAACAUUUUCGACCUUGUUGAUUUUUAUGUCAUCUCCAGCCUCUGCACCUCGCAAAGGUGUAUAGAGGGCGCCUUCUUUCAUUCUUGUUUCAAUUUCUGCAUAUUUGAAGUUCCACAAAAACACAUAAGAAAGAUAUAAUAGCUCCUGGUUAAAUUAAGAAGAGAGCUGACAGAGGCUUGAAACCCUAAGAUAACACCACUAGGCACUGAUGCCAAAAAUCUGGACUAUGUACUCCCAAGAGUAAAGAGGUUUUUUCCAUUAUGACCAUGGUUUUCAACAAAUUAAUCUUUGAAAUGUCAUAAAUCGAGAAAUUUAUCCCACCAAACAGGGGCGGAUCUAGUAAAAAGCACCAUUCCAAAUUUUACAAAAUCUUGGUCUCAGAAAAUUUGAAAAUAUACUAGUGGUGUACGGAAAUUUGCUUGGUAUCCCUAAAAAUACCCCAAGUCCUACAAUCCUUGAUCCACCCCUGCCACCGUAGCAAACUAUCAUAUUUCUUACACAAGCUUGUACAAGUCACUGAAGUGAGUAAAUUUCAACUUACAAAUACAAAACCAUGAUCAAAAAAACAUCAUGCACACAAGAGCACUAGCACCUUCGUUUUUUCAAUUAUGACACAUUCACGCACCCAUCUUGUCUUUAUCUGUGUACAUGAUGAAAACAAAAGUAAAUGAGGAAAGAACACACACCUUCUACGAUCGACUUGAAGCAAAUGCAGAUAUCAUACAGAGGAAGAAGGGAAGAUUCUUGAGAGUUUGAAGUAUGAUCCAGCAGAUUCUCCAACCACAAAAAUUUAAUAUGUAUUAAAUUCUCACUGAGCAAUGCAAUCAAUUAUUACUCUAGCUAGACAAUGAUAAGGUUUUGUAAUUACUCUAUUUCUGGGCCUUUUAAUGUGAACAAAGGAGCAUCGAUAUUACAUGAUGUAGCCAGGUAGGCCAUGCAUGUUUUAUCUCAUUCAUUGAGCAAGAAUCGAACCUUUAAUCUAACUUAUCAUAAUUUAACCUUUUUCUAUAACUAAAACAACAUUCACACAAACCAGGACACAUGUUCAACUUUUAUCACUAGAUUGAAGACGAUUUCAAUUUCAAAUCAAAGUUAAAAUCGGCAAUCAUGCAAUUGCAGUAGUAGUUGUGUCUCGGGGUCUGAAGAAAUAUUUCUCUUUAUGGAGUUGGUAAAACAUAUUUCACACGAUACCAAGUAUAAUAAUAAUAGAGUAAAUUCCUCUUUGCACCUGGUAUCUUAGGGUGGUUUUUCAGUUUGGUCUCAAUAUUUUAAAAAUAUUUCAGUUUGUACUCCAAGUUUCCGGUCUCUCACAAUUUGCACCCAGGUGAGGUGACCCUUUUACAUCCAAACCAACGUUAAAUUUAAUGGAGUGGAGGGGUGGAAUAAAACAUACACAAUUUCAAGGGUCAUGUCCUCCUCUUUAUAUACUGACGUCGGAAAUGAGACUAUGAUGCGGCGGUGGAGACGACGGUCCAGUUGAUUGCUUGUUUUGAGUAAGAGCUCAUCUUUUCGAAGCAGCCGAUUGAGACGGAGCUUGGUACUACUCGUUUACCCGAUGUUAUUGAACUGUCGAGGGAGAGACGGGAGUUUAUUUGUUUUUGGACUCUGAUUUGGAGGGUUGCCUUUUUCCUAGGAGCGCCGGCCAGGUGCUCGAUGAAAUGCCACAAUGAGUUGUUGAUCUUGGAGGUGGUUGAGGUGGGGCUGCUUUUGAGGGAGAAUUGUGGGUUUGUUGUGCUCGAUUAAGAGGACGUCUUCGGGCUCGACUCGGUGGCGACAGAAUGGGCAAGUCGAGUGAGCGUCUAGCCAUGUAUCGAGACAUUCGACGUGGAAUGCGUGUUUGCAUUUUGGGAGUAAUCGUAGAACUUCUGAGGGCUCGUAGUUUGCAUUUUAGCCCGUCGUUUUGGCCUUUGAGUGAGCUGAAGCGGAAGACUGGAAGAAUGUCUGUGAUGUUAGGGUCGAUUCCGGAAAUUUUACGAUGAGUGUGAGGGACUGUGCUGGCUUCUUGAAUUAUACUGUGUCUGCUUGGUUUCAGUGGCGGUUUCUUUUGAUUUUGAAAUUUCUACUUCUCCGUUUUGUUAAACUUCACUCAGUUUAAUUUAACGGUGAUUUAGAUGGAAAUGGUUUAACUGGGGGUAAUUUGUGAGAUACUGAAAAUUUGGAGGUGCAAACUGAAAUGUCUUGGACAUUGAGUCAAAUCGAAAAAUGAUCCUAAAAUACUGCAUGUAUAAUGGAAUUUAUUCAUAAUAAUAUGAUAUUCUUUGAAAGAAAAUAGUAUAUAUUACAUAUUAUUUAAUAUUUAUUAGUUUAUCUAUAUUUUUUUAAUAUGAUACUUCCUCGGUCCCAAAUAAAUUGGUAAAUAGUAGAGGGAGCUCAACACGUAUUUUAAAUUCUUAUAAAAAUUAAUUAUUAAUUAAUUUUUGAUUUUUUAUCCUGAAUACAAAUGUGAUAUUUAAAUAUUUAUUAAGAAACAGAAUAUUUUAAAAAUAAAUCAUAAAGUUAUUCUAGGUCAAUGUAAUAACUCAAUGCGGUACAGACAAGAAAAAAAAAUUAAUUUGAUCACCUUUAUUAUAUUCAUAAAAUUGAAUAUCUUUACAACAAUCUGAUUUAUUCGACAAAAUUAACCGGCCGAUGUGAUCCCACCAUACUGAACAGGAUCAUACGGUUAAUGUUGGUUGAUGCCGCCAGAAUAAGUUCUGCAGUAUUCCUGAACUAGCUUCCUGAAAAGCGAACCUUCCUUUGUUUAACAGUUUAUUAGGAUCAUUAUACUCCACCAUCUCCACACAAUAACCUAGCAUGUAGUGAUCAUCAUAUUCAUACACUACCAAGUACCGAUCACCACUGGCGGAACCAGGAUUAAUUUCGACCCCGGGCUAAAUUAUUAUUAAAAUUUCAGCAAAAAAAUUAAAAGUAAAUAUGCAUAUCUUAAUUGGUUAAGUGGUAACAUCUUUACUGCCGUUUUUUGAGGAAGGAAUGGAUGACAACUGAAUUCUACGAUUUUGCAUAUUUUGAUAGCGUUGUAAGAUAACUUCAUCGUCUAUGUCUUUAAAUAUGGCCUUCUCGAUGUAAACCACCAUGUUAAGUGGGCUAUUUUUUAUAUAUAUAAUCAUUUUUAAAUUUGUCCCCGGGCUAAAAAACUAAAAAUAAAUAAGUUAUACUUAUUAUUUUUUUUCUCAGUCGGGGCUAGCCCCCGUGGUUCCGCCUUUGCCAAUCACUACAAGAAAAACCGGCUAAAUUUGACCGAUUAAAUCUAAGCAGCUAUUUUUUAUUAUAGAGUGUUGGUGCACAUAACACAUGUGUAAGUCUUACACUGUAAGAUGAGAAUAUAGCUGAAUAUUGUAUUGCAGUAGUUGGGGGUAGUUGGCAAGUCUUGAUGUCUUAUUUUGUGGUGCGCCAUGUAUCUUUAUCUUAAGAUUUUAUUUUUAUUUUUGUAUUCGGAGUUGGUAAAAAUCAUAUUUCAUGCUAUACGAAAUAUAAUACAAUGUUAAUGAAUUUGAUCGCUUUUUAUGUUUUUACAGCAAACCUAGCUAAAUUGGAUCAUUCGUUGGAUCAUCCUGGUACUUAACAGAGUACUGAGCACUUGCAGAAAUGAAUUUUUACCCUUCUAUUAGUUAAAUCUAGCUACACACGCCUGCAUCUCUGAUCAACAUACUGUAUGGUUAAUGUUGAUUGUGGUCACCAGAAUAAGAGCAGUAUUCCUCAACUAGCUUCCUGAACAGCGAACCCUCCCGAUUCAACAGUUUAUUAGGUUCAUCGUACUCCACCAUCUCUCCUGCAUUUCAUAGAAAGAAUCACUGAAUGUUGUUGGCCUGCAACUUUCUGAUACAAUAUUUAGCGCAUAAUUUUCAGAUAUGAUGAUGUACAAUAAACGUGUAGUGCCCACCGUUUUUCAUACAGCACCAUUCUGCAGUCGAUCAUAGUUGGUAUUCUGUGAGCCACUGUUAUUACGGUGCAGCUUGCAAACUCUAUCCUUAUGGUUCUCUGUAUUAUGGUAUCUGUUGCAUUGUCGAUUGAUGCAGUUGCUUUAUCAAGAAACUAGUAUCUUCCUACUCUUUAAUAAUGCCCGUCCCAGGCAAAAUAACUGACAUUGUCCCAGGCUCCAAUUACUGUCUGAUCACCACUUGGAAGAAUUUCCAGGUCCUGUACAAGUGAACAUCUUUU